rnacentral:rRNA from 1 species
UACGGAGAGGGCUAGCGUUAUUCGGAAUUAUUGGGCGUAAAGGGCGCGUAGGCUGGUUAAUAAGUUAAAAGUGAAAUCCCGAGGCUUAACCUUGGAAUUGCUUUUAAAACUAUUAAUCUAGAGAUUGAAAGAGGACAGAGGAAUUCCUGAUGUAGAGGUAAAAUUCGUAAAUAUUAGGAGGAACACCAGUGGCGAAGGCGUCUAUCUGGUUCAAAUCUGACGCUGAAGCGCGAAGGCGUGGGGAGCAAACA